UACGGAGGGUGCAAGCGUUAUCCGGAUUCACUGGGGUUAAAGGGUGCGUAGGCGGGUAUAUAAGUCAGUGGUGAAAGCUCCGAGCUUAACUUGGAAACUGCCAUUGAUACUGUAUAUCUUGAAUGUCGUAGAGGUUAGCGGAAUGUUGCAUGUAGCGGUGAAAAUGCUUAGAUAUGUUACAGAACACCAAUUGCGAAGGCAGCUAACUAUGCGAUAAUUGACGCUGAGGCACGAAAAGCGUGGGGAGCAAACAGG
rnacentral:rRNA from 1 species